rnacentral:rRNA from 1 species
UACGGAGGAUGCAAGCGUUAUCCGGAUUUAUUGGGUUUAAAGGGUACGUAGGCGGAAAAUUAAGUCAGUAGUGAAAUCCUGCAGCUUAACUGUAGAACUGUUAUUGAUACUGGUUUUCUUGAAUUUAGUUGAGGUAGGCGGAAUGUGUAAUGUAGCGGUGAAAUGCUUAGAUAUUACACAGAACACCGAUUGCGAAGGCAGCUUACUAAGCUAUGAUUGACGCUGAGGUACGAAAGCGUGGGGAGCGAACAGGAUUAGAUACCCUGGUAGUCCACGCUGUAAACGAUGAUUACUCGUUGUUGGCAAUACAUCGUCAGCGACUGAGCGAAAGCAUUAAGUAAUCCACCUGGGGAGUACGCUCGCAAGAGUGAA